rnacentral:tRNA from 1 species
AAAGGGAGACCUAAUUCCGGUAGGAGACGAAAAAAAAGUAGUCCCAACCAAGAAUCAAUCCCAAAAGGUCGAAGCGAGGCAAGAUUGGCUUUCAAACUAGGUUCUGGGUUCAAACAAGACCUGAAUCAGGAACAAGGGCUAUUAGCUCAGGUGGUUAGAGCGCACCCCUGAUAAGGGUGAGGUCCCUGGUUCGAGUCCAGGAUGGCCCACCUGCACAGGUGGCAAAAACAAGAGAAGCGAGGAAUCAGCACCUUAUCUUAUAUACAUAUAUAAGAGAGAAUGCUGGCUCUGAGUACAGAGUCCAGAGGAACCUUGAAAACUGCAUAGAGCUAGGUGAAAAAGCCAAAAAAGAAGACCGCAAG